AUAAUUACAUAUUCAUAUUCACCGAAAAUCCCAUUUUCGGUAACUCUCUAAAGAGAAAUAAAAGCGUCAAAAUUAAUUGACGUCAAAAACUCCAACAAAAGGAAAUGUUCAAUCAUGAACCAUAGCAUGCAUAUUAUUUCAAAUAAAAGUCCACUCACAAAUUAGGCCUAAGCCUGAUGUCGAUCUGGGGUCUCGUCUGCUCGAGCCUCCUCACGUCCUGUUCCAAAUAUAAUAUUAAUUCCCAACCAAAAAAAAUCCAAUAUUUAAUCAAAAUAGGCAAAAUUACCCGAGAGCCAUAAUUACGCUCAUCAUUGCCUAACUUCGAUAUUCUUACAUCGGAACGAUCCGAACUUAAAUAUCAUACUCAACAGUCGUAAAUACAACCUCUCCAAAAUACGACUUAAAUCCUACGGCCGGAUUCUAAAUUAAUUACCCGCUAAAAAUACCACACUUCGGAAAUUCACAAACCUAUCCAAAUCUCAUCCAAAAAUUCCAAAAUUCAUCUCAAUAUACUCCUCUUAAUAUUCCACAUUUAAAACCCUAAAAAUCUCCUAACCGGCGGCGGCGCCGCCGGCGGCUCCGCCGGCAGCGGCGGCCGGCAGCCGUUUUCCGGCGACCUGCAAAUGCUACCAAAUUUUAACAGAAUCUUCCUCUUAAUCUCCUCUACAACUUUCAUAACAAGCUCAAACACCAAUUCCAAGCCUAACUAGGGCAAUCGACUAAAAACAUCCAUAAAUCCCUAAAACUUUCAAUUAUACAAACCACCCUAACGAGAUCGAAUUUAGCCGAAACCUUUUGAGGGAUUACUCACCUAGAUGAGGGCUACAAGUUGAGCCAAAAAUCACGACCUAUGGUGGCCGGAAGACGGAGCUCCGGCGAAAAAUCCAUUCCGGCAGUCGAACCUUUCGGGGUUGACCGCUCCUUCACGGCGGGGUUAGGGGAGCUGUCACCGGUCCAAGAAGGUUGCUGGGUUGAAGACCGAUCGAUUGGGACCGGUGCGGCGGUCUGGGGCGGCCGGACGGCGGCGGACGGCGGUGGAGAAAUUUCCGGGUGGAGAGAGGAGAAAACCGGGUGGGAGGAGAGAAAAUCGGGAGAGAGGGAGAAGAGAAAAAGGGUUUUGGGCCUCACCCCAAACCGGUCCACAACAC
rnacentral:lncRNA from 1 species